GACGAACGCUGGCGGCGUGCUUAACACAUGCAAGUCGAACGGAAAGGCCCUGCUUUUGUGGGGUGCUCGAGUGGCGAACGGGUGAGUAACACGUGAGUAACCUGCCCUUGACUUUGGGAUAACUUCAGGAAACUGGGGCUAAUCCCGGAUAGGAGCUCCUGCUGCAUGGUGGGGGCUGGAAAGUUUCGGCGGUUGGGGAUGGACUCGCGGCUUAUCAGCUUGUUGGUGGGGUAGGGGCUUACCAAGGCUUUGACGGGUAGCCGGCCUGAGAGGGUGACCGGCCACAUUGGGACUGAGAUACGGCCCAGACUCCUACGGGAGGCAGCAGUGGGGAAUAUUGCACAAUGGGCGGAAGCCUGAUGCAGCAACGCCGCGUGCGGGAUGACGGCCUUCGGGUUGUAAACCGCUUUCGCCUGUGACGAAGCGUGAGUGACGGUAAUGGGUAAAGAAGCACCGGCUAACUACGUG
rnacentral:rRNA from 1 species